rnacentral:rRNA from 1 species
UACGUAGGGGGCAAGCGUUGUCCGGAUUUAUUGGGCGUAAAGAGCGUGUAGGCGGCCAGGUAGGUCAGCUGUGAAAACUCGAGGCUUAACCUCGAGACGCCGGCUGAAACCCUCUGGCUAGAGUCCGGAAGAGGAGAGCGGAAUUCCUGGUGUAGCGGUGAAAUGCGUAGAGAUCGGGAGGAACACCAGAGGCGAAGGCGGCGACCUGGACAGAUACUGACACUCAACUACGAAAGCGUGGGGAGCAAACAGG